rnacentral:rRNA from 1 species
AAUGAACGCUAGCGGCAGGCUUAAUACAUGCAAGUCGAGGGGCAGCAUGGGUAGCAAUACCUGAUGGCGACCGGCAAACGGGUGCGGAACACGUACAGAACCUUCCUUUGAGCGGGGGAUAGCCCGAAGAAAUUCGGAUUAAUACCCCAUAGUAUUUUGUGUGGCAUCACAUAAAAUUAAAGAUUUAUCACUUAAAGAUGGCUGUGCGUAUGAUUAGGUAGUUGGUUGAGGUAACGGCUCACCAAGCCUUCGAUCAUUAACUGGUGUGAGAGCACGACCAGUCACACGGGCACUGAGACACGGGCCCGACUCCUACGGGAGGCAGCAGUAAGGAAUAUUGGUCAAUGGACGCAAGUCUGAACCAGCCCAUGCCGCGUGAAGG